rnacentral:lncRNA from 1 species
UUUGAAUCUAAACUUCAAAAUUACAACAUAUCUUACAAAGUUACAAUAUUUAGUCCCCGCACUCAAAACUUCAAAAUUGUGGAUUGUCUUUAGACAUCCCACAAUCCACAAAUUUUAUAUUACAAAGAUGUGAAAACUCCAAAGACAUUAGAUAUAAGGACCCUAAACUUUUAGAAAAUCUAAUUUAGCCCAAGAUUUUUGCAUUAAUUUGAUUUGAGCGAUUCUAUUCAAGCUUUUCCUUGGUUCGGAUGGCUAAAGAGCCGAUCUCGAGACAUUCAUUGAAUUUAAAAGCGUGUUUAAAAGAACCCAAACCCGACCCAUUCAGCUUCGUUGGCGAUACGUGGCGAAAAUCGGAGAGAAGAGAAGGACGACUUCGGCGAGUCCCAUCUCGGAGAAACUGAUCUCCGGCUUGAAACAGUCCACGGCGACAUCGUCUCCAUAUCAGAGCAGUAAUAUUCAUUCUCCGAU